GCACAAUUAAGGCUAAAAUAUCCACUUUUGACUACAGCCGAGUUGAAUAAUAUUUCCAGAUGGCCGCUUUUUGCAUAAAUUCUGCAAAAUGUUUCUGUCUUACUUGCUAAAUGACUUUGUAUAAACACAUACUAGCAGUAGAUCAAAUGUUCUAAGGCUAAAAUGGGCAGUAAUGACCAUGUGCCUGCUGUUAUAAAAACAAAG